UACGAAGGGGGCUAGCGUUGCUCGGAAUCACUGGGCGUAAAGCGCACGUAGGCGGGUUCUUAAGUCAGGGGUGAAAUCCUGGAGCUCAACUCCAGAACUGCCUUUGAUACUGGGAAUCUCGAGUCCGGGAGAGGUGAGUGGAACUGCGAGUGUAGAGGUGAAAUUCGUAGAUAUUCGCAAGAACACCAGUGGCGAAGGCGGCUCACUGGCCCGGUACUGACGCUGAGGUGCGAAAGUGUGGGGAGCAAACAGG
rnacentral:rRNA from 1 species